AAUCAACGCUGGCGGCGCGCUUAACACAUGCAAGUCGAACGAGAAAGCGGGGGCAACCUCGUGAGUAAAGUGGCGUACGGGUGAGUAACACGUGGGUAAUCUACCUCUUAGUGGGGAAUAACGCUGGGAAACCGGCGCUAAUACCGCAUAAGCUCGAGAGAGGAAAGCAGCAAUGCGCUGAGAGAGGAGCCCGCGGUCGAUUAGCUAGUUGGUGAGGUAAGAGCUCACCAAGGCAAAGAUCGAUAGCCGGCCUGAGAGGGCACACGGCCACACUGGNACUGAAACACGGGCCAGACUCCUACGGGAGGCAGCAGUGGGGAAUCUUGCACAAUGGGGGGCAACCCUGAUGCAGCGACGCCGCGUG
rnacentral:rRNA from 1 species